GCUAGCCCGUCAUACUUGUCCUGAUUUACUCUCGACCGAACGGUGGGGCAGAUUAUAAUAAAAUCAUUCAAAUUGAGUUUCAAAUUCAUCUCAAAUAGGAAAGUACCCUCAGGUAUUUUCAUUUUAAUGGAGGUCCAACUUAGAAAAAAAAAACACACAAACGUGUGAUGUCCAGGCAACAGAACUUCAUUGAAGAAGGUCAGAACCUUUCCCAUCCCCCACAGCAGUGGGUUAUAUUUUGAGCGAGGAAUGCCUCUAUUCUUCACCCAGACAUCUGCGGGGAGCGCCGAGCCCUUCACCGGCGGCACAUCACGGCCUCAAACAGCUCUCUAUGUCAACUUGAACAGACAGAGGCUCAUUAUGGAGCCCCGCAACUCACCGAGGGGCGGCAUGCGGGGAGAUUGGCAGAGAAGCACGAAAGAGCUCAAAUAAGGAUUUUUUUUUUUUUGGCACAGACCGAGAAAAAAAGAAUGGAGAGAAAAAAGAUGGUCCUUAGUGGUUCCACAUCAAUACUUCAAGACGGUUCCACAGAUGGAGAAGCUCGCUUGCAAAGGCGCCCCGGGGUAAUACGAUGCAUCUCAGCAAAGUCAUGAGAAAAGAAAUCAAGCGGCCGUCUGAAAUGGAGCACAUCAACGCGAGACGACAACAACAAACGCAUGUGUGCGAAACAACAAUUCUUCACACACUCCUGGGCUCAAACAAAGAGACAAUGACACUCCCAAUAACGUUGAACCCAGACGUGGAAGAAUCUGACAAGCGGUGUUGUCUACCGAGGAGUGUUGGCGGCCACUUGAAUCAAAGACUAUCAUCGGGCUUUUCAGUCAAUGUCCACAGAAAUACCUCAGAGCAAACCAAGCAUGCAUGAUUUUUGCACCUGCUCUACAUUGCAUGCAUGGACACAGGUAAAGAUAAAUAUCGAAACAGAAUAAAUAAGUCAAGAAAGAAAUCAUAAAAAUAAAAUUGAAAAAAAUAAUCAAUCAAUAAAUAAACAGAAGAAAUAAGUAAAGAAAUGAAUAAUGCAUAUAAAAGAAAAGAAAUAAUGAAAAAAUAUGAAAAAAUAACUCAAUUAAAUAUGCCUUGAGAACUCGCAAAAACGUCAUCUCAUUACAAGCUAGCCGCAUAGCUCUGAAAUCUGCUGCAUUACAACUCGAGUAUGAAAUUGACACUUGGAACUGCGCCACGUUGUUUCUGCUGUUUACGUCGGAUAGCCAAAGAUCCGUCGGCACAUAAAUAAUGUUUUAUUAUAGCGAUGCUGCAUAAUGAAACCCACCGUGAAUUUAAGAAGAUGAAAGUAGUUCUUUGUCAUCGGAAUGGGGAUAUUUUUUAAGGAAUAGUUUUGCCAGAGGAAGGGAAAAUAUGAAGGUUACAAUUCCUCAUAGAUUCUAUGAGGAAUUGUAACCUUCAUGACAUAGAACCUCUUAGUACUUGUCACGAUAUACAGAAAAAAAGAAGGCAACACGUUUUAAGCAAAAUGUGGUCCAUCAUAUUUAAAAAUAGAAAACCGGACUGCGCUUUUUAUUUGUUAUUUUUCCAGCAGGCCAUCUACGCGGCAGAGUGGCGGACCAAGGUCGCCAAGAUUGUGACGAAGCCAUUCACUCAGCGAUGAAUAAUGCAAGAGACAUAAAAAAAAGCUAAAGAAGGCGUCUUUGCGAUAUACGUGACAUGAGCCGGUUCGGGGGUGGGGAGUCGUCUCUCAUUCGGCGUAAAUGCACUUCCAGUAAUGAGCAGCGGUCAGCUAAAGCAACAACAAAAGAGAAUCCAGCCACUGCUUAUUAAUGGCCUAUCAGGUAAAUUACAGUAUCUGAUAGUUUUGAUUAAAUGUGCGCCCUGUUUGGGAUGCAGUUUUUGUUCCUCCCCCAUCAUCCAUUUUUCUUUUCCUAGUAUUUGAACACCUUUCGCAUUCAUGAGAGUUGAUUUUAAAUUCUGGAAGAGCAACACAUGCGGCACCUCCGAGGGAUCGAAGAAAAGCUGUCAUACAGCCAUGGGAAAUCAUAAUAUCUCAUAAAAAAAGACCAAAUUGGGUUAUCAAAAUGUUUUUCAGUCAAAGGUGCCAUAUUGGCACCACUGGGAACAUUUUUGCUUCGUUCAUAAUUCCCUUCAUUGACUACUGAUGGGAAUAAUGAGGUUGUUUCAAUGACACGCAGAUCUGCCACGGUCAAGGACGUGAUGACGAUGCAUAUCUUUGGUCUCACUUUUCAUUUAACGGGACAUUAAUUUAAAUGCACCUGAGAAGGAGUGGAAGACGGAAGGAUUUGCUUGAGGAACCUUGAAUGUACCAAAGAGGUUUUGCUAUCACCUCUAAUGUCAUUUCCUCACUCGAUAGCUAAGGUAAACCUGUUGAAGUUUAGAUAACGACAGUUAUUGGUUCUGGUAAAUGAGGGGACUCGUUAGAUGCACGUAAAAGGUUUUGGGGUUCUUGGCGGCCCCUCCCCGCAAAGCUUACUGAAGCUUGGAGAAGUGGAGAAUCUGCAGUGAAAUCGUCAAGGGAGAAAUGGCGGCUGUUUUUCUUGCUGCGUGACAUUUCUGGUCCUUUGAGAAAGCCACAAUGCACAGCCAACUGCCCCUCGGCGAUGGCAUCACAGGAUUGAAAGUUUGUGCUUUAAUAGGAAGACAGUUGAGAACCGCUGGGGCUUUAUAAUGACCGAGUGCUAAUAGAGAAAAAAAAGAUCUGUUGCUUCAUUCAGACUUUUUUUGUGUGGCCCAAGACAAUGAUUAAAAUAACAAGGAUGAUGUCAUUUCGAUAUUUUGUUGCACACUUAAAGAGUCAUCUAACUUUCAAAGAGCUUGGUGUACCUCUCGGAACGUCUUCAGGGCCCCUAUUAAAAUAACAAGGAUGACGUUAAUCCAAUAUUUUGUUGCACACUUAAAGAGUCAUGCAACUUUCAAAAAAGCCUGGUGUACCUCUCGGAACAUCUUCGGGGCCCCUUUUAAUUAGCAAACUGUUACAGCUGUGCCUUCUCCAACGUGGUUGUUUCAGGUCAUUCACCAGAUGUUUGAGGAUUUAUAUCGGGGUUCACAGAAGACCACUUCAAAACUAGUCUAAGGUUUUGGUCUUUUUAGCUGGCCCUGUUUAUUUUUGCAUCUGUGUACAUCUGACUUGCCCAAAAGUUUUCUUCUAUGUUCAAAGGAGCCACAAGCUUUGUACACGAGCAUCCAAAACAGCAAAUAAAAGAUUUUACUAUGA